rnacentral:rRNA from 1 species
UACGAAGGGGGCUGGCGUUGCUCGGAAUGACUGGGCGUAAAGGGCGCGUAGGCGGUUUGUACAGUCAGACGUGAAAUUCCCGGGCUCAACCUGGGGACUGCGUUUGAGACGUACAGGCUUGAGUGUGAAAGAGGGUCGUGGAAUUCCCAGUGUAGAGGUGAAAUUCGUAGAUAUUGGGAAGAACACCGGUGGCGAAGGCGGCGACCUGGUUCAUUACUGACGCUGAGGCGCGAAAGCGUGGGGAGCAAACAGG